rnacentral:sRNA from 1 species
UAAACAUAAAUCCUACACCCUAAACUCCAAACCCCAAAUCGUAAAACCUAAACCCUAAACCCUAAAUCCUAAACCCUAAACCCUAAACCCUAAACCCUAAAUCCAAAACCCUUACCCUAAACCCUUAACCCUAAACCCUUAACCCUAAACCCUUAACCCUAAACCCU